rnacentral:rRNA from 1 species
AACGAACGCUGGCGGCAGGCCUAACACAUGCAAGUCGAACGCCGUAGCGAAUACGGAGUGGCAGACGGGUGAGUAACGCGUGGGAACAUACCCCUCGGUUCGGAAUAACUCAGGGAAACUUGAGCUAAUACCGGAUACGUCCGAGGUUUUGAUCGACCUUGGAGAAAGAUUUAUCGCCGAAGGAUUGGCCCGCGUCUGAUUAGCUUGUUGGUGAGGUAAUGGCUCACCAAGGCGACGAUCAGUAGCUGGUCUGAGAGGAUGAUCAGCCACAUUGGGACUGAGACACGG